rnacentral:rRNA from 1 species
GUUCGGAUUGUAGUCUGCAACCCGACUACAUGAAGCUGGAAUCGCUAGUAAUCGCGGAUCAGAAUGCCGCGGUGAAUACGUUCCCGGGUCUUGUACACACCGCCCGUCACACCAUGGGAGUCGGAAAUGCCCGAAGUCUGUGACCCAACCUUAGGGAGGGAGCAGCCGAAGGCAGGUCGGAUGACUGGGGUGAAGUCGUAACAAGGUACC